AUCAUUCCAUUCGAUGGGACAAUCGAUGAUUUCCAAAACUCUUAGGGUUUCGGUGAAUCUUUGAGUCCAUUCCGGCAAUUUUUUCACUAUUGGAAGCUCUCUGAUUGUGAACCUCUGAAGCCUGAACUCCACUCCUUUCAACGUCAGUGUAAGUUUUUUGCAACUCCAAAUCACCAAAUUCUUUAGUGAUAUUAGCGAUCCUAUCUCGUUUGGCAACGAUUUCAAUGUCUUACAAUCGUAAAUCAUUAGGGUUUCUAGGCGUACGAGGCAUGACGGCUUUUUGAAUAGAUCUUGUAGGUUUUGGCACCCUCCAAUUGCGAGAAAUCGAAGAGAAGUCAUGGUUCCAACUCCAUUUUUGUGCAGACGAAGGUUGUUUGCUGUUACCCAGAGGUAUCUCAGGUUGGUCAAUUGCCUAAUAUCAUUGGGCAGUUCUUUAAGUGCGGAACAGGAUGCAAGAAUCAAGGUUUGUAAAUUUUUUAGCUUGAAGAUUGAAUUUGGUAGCCGCUUGAUUUUCUUAUUCCCUUGCAAGUCUAGGUAUCUGAGCUGUACCAGAUUUUCUACAGCACUUGGAAUUCCCUGUAGAUUUGCAUUGCCUAAAUGCAAUAGUCUUAAGUAUUUGAACUUGUCGAUGCAUGCAUUUGCUAGGAAUGCACUAGGGGGCACCUUAUCUCUUAUUGUGAAGGCUAUAGAUUGGGUUUUUGUGACUUCGAAUACCUGUUUUUGUGUGAGUAGACGUGCAAGUUUUUCAAUAAGAGGGUGCAAUUUAAACCAAUAGCCAAAACCAUAUUCCUCUAGUUCUUGUAGGAAACAUCUUGAGCAUAGUUCCUUGAAAUAAUUCUCACCUAUUUUUUCCAAAGAUAAGUAAUUCUCUUUGGGUAGGAGGUCGCUUGCAAUCCAUAAUUGAAUCACAUCAUUGGAAGACAAUAUGCGAUCUUUUUUUAAUUGGGAACAAUAAAGAAAACAACGUUGUAGGUGUGAAGGCAUUUGAUCAUAGCAUAAUCUAAGUGUAGGUAAAAUACUCUUAUUCCCAUCCUCCUCUUCCUCAUGUUCCCAUAACUUAUCGAUGACACCGUUCCACUCAGCUAUACUAGUUUUUGAUAGCAGACCCCCCAGGCACUUUAUUGCCAAAGGAACCCCAUGACAUUUCUGCUCAAUUACUUCUUGUAUUUUUGUGAGAUUUGGGAUUUGUGCUUCCUGUGUUUCUGUGAAAGCAUGAACUUUGAACAAAGACAAUGAAUUUUCCUUUGACAACCUCUCAACUUUGAAAAUUGUUUGAUGUUUCAUAUUAUCCUUGUUAACAUCUGAAGGUUUUGUGGCUUCUGGGGAUGGAACUACCUGGCUCUCGUUCUUGUAGAGUUUUUUUAGUCCGACAGCAUCAGCUAUUUUCUCAUUCUGAGUGGUCACUAUGAUUUUGCUGCCACGGUUUCCCAUCCCCAAUAAACUUUUAAAUAUGGAGCAAUUACCAAGGUUUUUGAUUGAAAUAUCUUGAAAAACAAUCAGAAAUUUUUUAUCCCUCAGAAAUUGUUGAACUGCAAAGCACAAUUGUUUCUCAGUCAAGUUAUCACAUGUUACUUGGCAAUGUGAAAAACUGAGCAUCUCUUUUAUCAAUCUCUGUGGAUCAAAUUCCUCUUUCACACAAAUCCACAAUCUUGAUGGAAACGUGUUCACCAGAUUGUUGUAAAAGAAUUUGGCAAGUGUGGUCUUACCUAUACCUGGUUCUCCAACUAUGUGGAAGAGCCCGUGAGUAGAUUUUUUGAAAUGAUCCAGAAAGUUAUGAUAUCGUUUGUCUUGGAAAACCUUGGGAGCAUUAGUCAACGAGUAAAGCAAUUGCCAACUUGGUUUCAUGAGUCUUGUCGAAACUUCAGUAGCACUAAGAAAGGAGUGUGUUGUCUCCAUGUUUGUUAGAUUGAAGCCAUACAUAUGGGAUGCAAUUUCAUCCAAAUCGUCGCAUAGUUUCAUCAUUUUUUUAGUUUGAUCAAUUUGACUGAAGUUAAAGGAAGGAAGAAAUACCCAUUUUCCAGUAGCCUCUUGUUUUUUGACUUCCCUAUUGGAUUCAUAUAGCAAUUCCUCAAUUUGUAAAAAUACACUUUGAAGCUUCUGUAGCCAAUCAUUUAGACAAUGACGAUAUUCUUCCUUUUCAGCAUCCUUAAGAAUUGUUUUAAGGCUCAACAUGGUAUACUGCAUUCGUCUCAGGUACAUUGGGAAUUUUUUUAGCUCUAUCAAGAUAUUUUCUGCUUGCUCAUAGAUGCAACAAGCCAUUCGUAUAUAUUUGGAAUAUGUCGUUUCUCUUCCUUUCAAUUCGUUGAGUUUGAAUGAUCUAUAGAUGAAGACAGUUAUAUAGCACCUACCCAUGGAUUCGUUGCAUUAUCAAAAAGCAAAGUAGCAUUAAAACUUACUUUUCUUUUGGGGAAAUGUAUAUAUUAGAAUAGGGACACUUACGCAAGUAUGUACAAAUACUUGUAUUUGUACACUAAAACUAUUAAUAAAGUCCAUUAGAAUUUAGAAAUAGUUUCUUUACGUUCGAUAUCCCACCCUCCAUUCUUGUACUAAAAAAAUUCAUUACAAUUUUUCAAUCCCACUACUCAUGAAAUGCUUCUUUCUAAAGUAGAUUUUAUUAACUCUAUUAAGUGUUAGUUCGACUAUGCUUAAGUUGACAUCAUCAAAUAGACCAUUGACGAUAUUUAACUUAAUUUGUUACUAGAAAAUUAAAAUAUGAAAGGCUUAGAUUAGUAAUUUACCACAAAUUUAGUUUUGAGUUUUUAAAGCAAAACUAGAAAAUGAUUUUAAUUCAAGAGAUAACAAAUAAUGGAAUUCGAUUCAAAUCCAUUCAAAUUUAAAGUCGCUAAAAAUCUGAAGAAAAUAGCCUGAUUGUAUCCCCACUAAGUUCAUAUUUUCUUUAUGUUUUUAUUCAUUUCUUAUUUUUAAUUUUGAUGCCGUCAGUACAAAACCUUUGGGUGGUUUUUUCUUCUUUUCUCUAUUUUGCCCAUUUUUAUUCUUUCAUUUAUACAAUAUAUUCAAAUUUCAAGAAAAUAACAAAUAAUGCUCUUUUUGUCUCUUGUUCCUUGUAUUUUUAGAAUAAAAAAACAUUUGAUUAUUCCUAUUAUUCAUUUCUAAACAUUUCCAUUUUUUUUUUGAAAACAACGAAAGGCAAGUUGGCUUUAUUUGUGCGUUCUUAUUUCUAAUUCCCCCCCCCCCCCCCCCCCCCCCCCCAAAUAUCAUUCUGAACCAGUAUGUAUCAAUAAAAGAAGAGAGAAGAGAUAGUUAGUAAAUGCGUCUCGAUUUUUUUAAUUAUAAAAAAGUACAUAAAAAUUGAUAUGAGAUUAAGAAAAUUAAAGGAAAAAUUGCAAAAACCACCUUUGAAGUACGGUGGUUGUUGCAAUUAGACCUUCAAACUCCCGUUUGUAAAAGUUGAACUCCUAAACUUCUAAGUGUAAAAAUUGGACCAUAGUAGAAAUUGGAUCCACAAAUGAUAAAAAUUGAACUCUUAAACUUUACAUGAAGGUUUAAUUCUUAAAAUUGAAAGUUUAAGGGUGUAAUUACAACUGUUAAGGGUAGUUUUUGCAAUUUGUCCAAAAUUAAUUCUUUCUAAACAAGUUUGUGGAUAUAAGUGAAGAACAAAGCUAAUACCAUUGUUGAUUCGCUUAUAGAAUUAAUAGAAAACUCAAGUGUUAGGUAAUUGUAUAUUCUUUGCUUUGAUAGUGGAGUCGAGAACAUUUUUAAUAUUCUUAAAGGUAACAAUCCUUCCUUUUACAAAUUCCAAGUUCUUGUAACUUGUUAUCUCCAAGGAACAAAAACUAUAUUCUUCCUCUGCUCUAAAUCAUUAUGAGAUACUUUUUUUUGUUGUUACUUUAAAUGUAAUUCAUUUGUUAGUUGAAAAAAAUUUAGGACUUACGCUACUAAGCGGAGAAAAUUUGAUAUUCAUACUAACUCUUUAAAGAUUAAGAAAGAACUGAACAUUCCAUUGUUAAGAGAAGAAAACAUUCUUUCACUUCUUUUAAACGCACCAUCAUUUCUAGGAUAAGAUGUUGAUGUAUCUUCUGGAGAAAUAAAGUUUUAUACAAGAACUUUUUGGAAAAAGAACACAUUUUUUAAUCUUGAGGUUUGACUUGCAUUGCAUAUAAGUUCCAAUUUUCAAACUGAUGAGGAGCAGGAAUUUAAGAAAUUUUGUGGUGGGUAAUGUAGCAUUCAUUAUAGGACAUGUUGUCUUUCAAACCUUGGAGCCCAUUCCUCUCUUUCUUCAUUCUUAAAUUUAUCUCCCAUCUCAAGAAGCUUUGUUCCAUUGUUCAUUUUCAUAUUUCCCUUUGAGUUUCGAUUUCAAAUACCUUAAUCUAUAGACGUGAUUUCACAUGGAUGGAAUCCCCUUUUUGUAAAGGGGGACGGCAGGUGUGUUCUUUCAUUUUUUUUUCCAAUGAAAGCUCUUAUUUUCAUUAAAAAAGAACAACAAAAAUUGUCUCCCAUCCUGAUCAACUUCUAAGUUGGAAUUGACUGUUGUCCAAGAAAUACUUUCACAAACAUUGUUGUAUCCAAAGGAUGCUUGGAAUAUGUCUCUCCUCUUAAGUUGGUACGUUCUCUGUAAAGGAAGUGAGUAAAUUUGAUGCAUUUAUUCUUUCUUUUGUCCUUUUUAUAUGGCUGCCUUUAGAAAGUCCUACUAUAAGUUUCCAACUUUGAUUUGUGUUGGUCUAGCAAAGCUGUUUGGUCUAAAUUUUAAUGAGGUUUUUGCCCUCCUUUCGGGCAGCUAUGGUGCGAAAGAAACUUGUCACUCCUUUUGAACACCAAACUAAGGGAGGUGUUUUGAGAUCUUGUCACUCUUUGUCCAUUCCUUGUUAAUUAUUUUGUAAUUUUAGCUUAUCUCAGAUUGUCUCUAGUUUGGCAUCUUGUUUGUAACCCUUUUGGUGUGAGGAGAUAUCUCAUCUCCUUCUCUUUUUGUAAAUCACCUUUUGAUAAUGAAAAGUUUGUUUCUUAUAUAUAGAUAUAUAUAAAAGGAACAUUUUUUUAUGGAUGAAUGGUGUAUAACUUCAUACUCCAUAACAAUGCUUGUUUGCAAAGCGCAAGGCGCGCUCUAAGACACAAACUUUUUAAUCGCCUCAAGGCGAUGGGUGACAAAAAGAUGUUGCCUGAUCGAAGCGAGGUACAACUAUUAAAAUAAUUCAUAAUAAUAAUAUAAAUGAAAAAUACAUAAGAUGAGAUAAUAUAAAGAUAUAAAUUGCAAAGAAGAGACAAGACCUAAGGAUUCGUGAGAAUCCGAACAUUCCAACCAAGUUGACACCCUUCUAAUUUUGUUAUUUUAAAUUGAUUAACUUAAUUAUUUAGAAAUGUUUGACUUAAAAAUCAAAUUCUUUGGAUAGGAUUUUGAUAAUGAUUAACUAAAAAAUAAAAUAUAUAAAAAUUUACCUAUGUUUGAUUAUGUUUAAUAAUAUCAUACUUCAUUUAUCUUGAAUAUGACUAAUUUGUAAGUUAAAUAUUUUCAAUAUAGCUCAUUUUAAAUCAAAUAUAAUUUAAAAUUAAUUAUUAAAAAAACUAUUUCAAAUUAAAUUUAAAUUUAAAUUUAAAUUUGGACCACAAUAAAUAUAGUUUAUUUUAUUAAUAUUAGUUUAUUAAGUUUUAAAUUCAAGUUCAUCUCAUUUUCAAUUAUUUCUUUUUUUAAAAACUAUUUUUUCUUCAAUUUUGAAAUUGAGAUGGGACUAAACUUAAAAUUAUUAUAAUUAUUAUUUUGCAUAUUCUUUCAAUUAUAUGCAAAGAUGAAGUAGCCUUGCAUGGGUCUACAAUUAUUUAUUUAUUAUUAUUCUCUUCAUUUUUCUUUUUCUUUUUGUUAGAGUAACUUUAAGCUAAGUGUUUUUCCUCGAUAAUUUAAUGUUAAUUUUAAUAAUAGAGAGAAAAGUUCAUAGUACAAGAAAAUUGUAUAAGUUAGUGCACCGGACAUCUCAACUAGGUUGACAUCUUUAUAGCAUCUUCAUCAUUUUAUUAAUAUUUUUAUUUUCAAAAAAGAAAAAAUUAAUUAUAUUUUUAUAUAGGUGCCUAAGAAUUAUUGCAUAAAUGACUUUGUUACUACUAGAUUAGUUACAAUCACACUCAACUUUUAACUUGACCAGUCACUUUUGUGGUUUGUCAAGUGUUGUAAUCGGGCUUUACACUUGUGACUUGUUAAUCGAUAAAAAACUUUUCCUCAUUCAAAACAUGAAGUCUCAAAGAGGGAAUGUUGAAGAAAUCUUUUGAAUAGCAAAUGAGAGUUGGAAAAGUAAAACUCAAAGAGAAAAGAAUGGAACAUUCAUCUUCGAACUACUUUUGAACUUUUGAGUUGUUCUAACCUUGCAAAUUCCGUAUUCAAAUUCUAAUAUUCUGUCAUGUUCAUUGUUUUUUCUUGAGUAAUUCACUAAUUGUAAAAGCUGUUUUUCUUUAACAAUUAAAUAGACAGCCAUUGUCAUUGUUGGCAAUGAAUAUUGGUUACUUUUAGUAUGAAGGCAUUUAUGAGUUUCUUAUGUGAUGGUUGAUAUUGCUACUAUGAAUGAGUUAUGAGUUCCUCAUAUAUUUACUUUAAUUCUUUUCUUUUUAUACUCUUAUAUCUUAUGUAUUUUAGAGAUGUGGAGUACCUUUCAUCUUGUGUAGACAUUAUGUGUGGGUUAAUUUACCUUACAAUGGUAGUGGUUAAACAUCCUAUGUUAGGGGCAAUUAUUCAAUUUUUUUUAUAAUUGGAGUUUCAAUAUGAUGUCUAUAUCUAAAAUCGAGGACAUAUCGAGGGAGGUAUGUGUAUUAGAAUGGAGAAAGAGUGUUAUUUGGCUUCAUGGGUGGACUUUGGAAGGGGUUAAACUUGUGUACACUGAUCAAGGAUUAACAUAUAUGUCGACAUGUGUAUAUCUAUAAAAAUAAAUUUUAUAAGUUGCAUGACAUAAAUAUCCAUCAAUAUUGAUAUUUUAUCGAUACAUCUGUGAUAUAUUUGUUAAGGUUGAAAUCUCAAUAUCGAUGUUUUAAUCCUUGAUACUAAUGAAAACGAAGUUGAGUCUUCUAAACUUGUGAAGCUUUUUUCUCUCUCUUGGGAACCUCUAAACAUGUGAAAUUAAUUAAUAUUGAGCACUUGGAAGCCACCUUAAAUAAGGUGGAACAUCACUUUAGAUGUUCGAAUGCAUUAACAAUGAAGAGAUACAUAUGGUAAAAGAUAUAGAUGUUGAAGAGAGUGAUACUAGUGAUAGAAGUGUAGCCUUGAAGUUCGAAAAAUCAUAGAUAGUGACCAUGAAGGCGUAGGACACACUUUCCCAUUUUAUUAUCAUUAUUUUUUAAAAUACAUAAUUGAAAGUGGAGGGACUUGAGCUUCUGACAUGUUGAUCAAGAGUCUUUUGUUUUUCAGCUGAGCAUAAUCCUUUCAAGUGAUUGAUGGUACAUGAAGAGUAAAUAACUAAUUUAGGAAAUGUUUGGAGCAAGAGGUGAAAUAUUGAACUUCCAGGAGCUGUAAAGUUGUGUACUCUUAUGAUCCAAGGUAUUACAAUUUUUUUAGUAGCAGAGCCCACGAACUCUUUACGCUAAAUAAGAAGUGGGGUUCACGUACUCCCCAACUUCUACUCCCACUACUUGGUCCAAACAAUCUCUUUAGGCUUUAUGUGUUUGGCUCAAAGAUUUUGCGAGUUCAUGUACUAAAAAGAUAUAAUGUAUUUUUAUAUUUUUAUUCAAACUCCUUUCAUAAUGGACCAUAGAAGUUCACAAUUCUGCUCUUUCUUCCCAACCGCUCAUGCAUUUGAAUGGAUGAAUUAAUAGAAGUUACCUGUCAUCUGUACUUUCUUCGUUACCAUUGGACUACGCCGUACCAAAUUCCCAGUGAUGUCUACAGCUCCUUGAAUUAUCUUACUUUCAACUGCUUUGUACAUUUUGAUUCCCUCUUCCUCCACUUUGAUGGGACAAUCGAUGAUUUCCAGGACUCUUAGGGUUUCUGUCGACCUUUGAAGCCAUUCAGGCAAUUUAUUCACUUCUGGAAGCUCUCUGAUUGUGAAUCUUUGGAGGCUGAAAUCGACUUUCUCUAAGCCCUUCAGUGUAAGUUGUUUGCAACUCCAUAUCACCAAAUUCUGUAACGAUAUUAGAGACCCCAUCUCGUUUGGCAACAAUUGCAAAGAGUUACAAUCGUAAAUCAUUAGGGUUUCAAGGCGUACAAGGCAUGAUGGCCGUUCGAAUAGAUCUUGAAGUUUGUCACAUCCUCCAAUUGCGAGGAAUCUUAGAGAAGUCAUGGUUCCUACUCCAUUUUUGUGCAAACGAAGCUUGUUUGAUGUUACCCACAG
rnacentral:lncRNA from 1 species